rnacentral:rRNA from 1 species
GGGCCCGCACAAGCGGUGGAGUAUGUGGUUUAAUUCGAUGCAACGCGAAGAACCUUACCAGGGUUUGACAUCCUGCGAAUCUCUUGGAAACAGGAGAGUGCCUUCGGGAACGCAGUGACAGGUGGUGCAUGGCUGUCGUCAGCUCGUGUCGUGAGAUGUUGGGUUAAGUCCCGCAACGAGCGCAACCCUUGUCCUUAGUUACCAGCGGGUUAAGCCGGGAACUCUAAGGAUACUGCCAGUGACAAACUGGAGGAAGGCGGGGACGACGUCAAGUCAUCAUGGCCCUUACAUCCUGGGCUACACACGUACUACAAUGCUACGGACAAAGGGCAGCAAGUUCGCGAGGACAAGCAAAUCCCAUAAACCGUGGCUCAGUUCAGAUCGUAGGCUGCAACUCGCCUACGUGAAGGAGGAAUCGCUAGUAAUCG